ensembl:lncRNA
CUCCGCACCAAGACAGCCGUGAUUGGAAGAUAACACAGCGGGUUAGAACUCUGUCUUGCUCUCUGCAAAUCUGUGACGGGAAAACUACUGUUCCUGCCAUUCCUAACUUCUGAUGCACUGGCCUCUCCAUUGGUCCGCCCUGGUGGGCAGUGUGGAGCUUUGCUGUUUAGACUCUGUGGUGAUUAAUUGUAGGUGUCCACUUGACUGGAUUAAGGGUUACCUACAGAACUGGCAAAGUGUAAUUGCUGGGUGCGUUGGUGAGGAGUUUCCAGAGGAGGCUGGCAUGUGAAUCAGCAGGCUGAGUGGGGAAGAUCCACCCUCAGUGUGGACAGCUGCCAUCCAAUUGGCUGGGGUUUGGGCAGAACAGAAAGGUGAUCUGCACUCUCCUGGGGCUGAGAUGUGCUCUUUGUCGGAACUGCUGGCCCUGCAGCCUUUCACAAUGGACUCCAGCAGCCUCCUGCAUUCUCAGGACUUCAGACUGUCCUCAGAAAGUUACCUGCACUGGGGAGAGGGGGAUUCCCUGGGAGACAGGGUGCAUUUUCCCUCGGCCCUCUUAUAAUCUCCUUUUCCAUCACUUCCCCUUGGGUGGGGAGAGGCUCACAAUGUAAGUAGUUUUGCUCUGGCACUCGCUCCUGCCACGAUGUGAUGCCUCAUCACAAGAAAUGAUGGGAGGCACCUACACCCCUGGAAUCUUCACUAUGGAUCUUGGACAUCAUGAAGUCAGACUUUGCUGGAGGAAGGCAUGGAUCAGAUCUGUCAUUCUCAGUUGAGAAGUGAGAUAAAAUUGGCCAUGAUCCUACCUGAAGAGACCUUCUACAGGGGCUCACUUGCCUAUUCUAGAAACCAGAUGAUCAGUUAUUUUUUCUGACAAACAAGCAAGCCUGAACCCUCCUGCAGGGGAAUUGCAGAGGCAAGGGCACCAUGAGAGACACUGAGGAAUGGUCACCUUUGACCUACAGAGGACAGCUGCCUUGGGCUGAGGGAUUAGGAGACAGUGGGCUGUGAUCAAAGAACCCCAAAGAAAGGAACCUUAAACCUUUAUCUCCAAAGCUUCUGGCAAUUCAAGCUCAUCUCCACUGGAGCAUCAAAGCUGGUGUAGGAGACUUUUCAGGUCUGGAGAGGCCACACAGAAGCAAGCUGACAGCUGGGCAAUACAAGGAGACUUUCAUGCAGCGGCUCUGAUAGUGACAGGCAGCCCCAGUGAGCUGAGGAACAUUUCUAAAGCUUAAGCUGCCAUGUCACACACAGCAACACUUUCAGAGUGUCAAAUGCUGGAGCUGUAAUGACUUUCUUGUGCGUAUUGUUUGAAAAUAGAAGUGAGUAUGCUAUUCUAAAGCUGGUGUUGAGACAGUGUAGACAAGACUAAUUUGGUAAAAAGUAAAUUGAUAAGAAUUUCAAAGAACAGUUCCAGCAAGAACUGAUAAGAGCAGUUUCAUCGAGUAAAUUCAGACACAACACAUACUUCCUGAGAACUUAAGUGAGCCCAGCACCAGACACUGGGAUGAGGUCUUUUAUCCCAGUCUUGGGGUUAAUUCUCAUGAAGACCUUAAUGGAGAAAUAUUACCUUCUUCCAUGCGUUACAACUGAGACUGACGUGGUGGCUCUGAAGUGUUUGUUCAAGUCACACAGCUACUGUGGGAGGGAAAAAGAGUUCAAACCAGGUCUGUCUGCCUUGAGAUUCACUUUGAUUUCAGUGAAAGAAGAGGAACUUUUUCACAGUUAUUUGUCUGGGUCUAUAUGUACACACAAGCAAGAGCUCUCCGGCAGUCACUUGAGCUAAAAUUUCUCUGGUUCACUUUACAAUGUGAAAUCUUUUGGAAAGAAAUGUGGUAGAGACAAUGCCAUGUAACUCCACACAUAAGCUGAGGAGGAGGGGUAUUAAGCUGUGGCUGUGUUUGUGGCUUGUGUUUUGUGGUUUCGCAUUUUUGUUUCUUGAGUGCUUAUUAUAUGUCAGGCUUCUCACUUGGUCCUCACAGUGCCCUUUAAAGGUGGUCACAGUCACAGGUGGCUUUACAGGGAAACAUUCACAAGGAGCAGUAUAUCAUUAGGUGUAUUCAGAGUCUGUGCAAAGAUUAUAGAGUGUACUUACACAGACCUAGGUCAGUGCUUCUGUAUGGUCUCUGAAUGCAACACAGAGACUCAGUAAACACAAGAUAUAUGAGGCUGCUGCCAGUGUAACACGGUAUACUGUUUUUAAUCAGUAGAAUUAGGCUAAAAUAACAAUAAAAUCAUAGUGUGGUCAAUACAUAAGCCAGUAGCAUGUUUACUAUCAUUAUUGAGAAUUCUAUGCUAUACAAAACUGUAUGUACUAUAUUUUUAUAUGAUUGCCAGGGGAGUUCAUUUGUAACAGCCUUACUACCCACACAUGACCAAUGUGCUGUGCUAUAUUGUUAUCAUGGCUACAACAUCACUAGGUGAUAGGAAUCUUUUAGCUCCAUUAAAAUGCUAUGGGACCAUGAAUCAUGUAUGUGGUUUGUCAUUGACUAAAACAUUUUGUGGCUCACGACUAUGGUAGUAUGUGCACUUUACAAAUAAGAGGGAAAGGGUAUUUGGAAGGUUAUGUCCUUAAAGCUCACAGAGCUAGCUAGUCACUAUCAAAGCCAAGAUCAGAAUUUAGGUUUUCUGGUUUGAAAGCCCUUGUUAUUUUUGCCACAAAAUCCUGUCAGCUUGUUGUUCUGAAUCUGAGACCAAGGAAGAGCUAGGAUUUUUCUUUCUGAGAAAUGUGAUGAGUGAAAUGAGAGAACAGAGAGGUCCCAGCAAAUACCCUUAAACCCAUAUUGGCUUCUGAGUGGUGUGUGUGUGGGGAGCAAGAUCUAGACCAGGCAAGGUAGGCGGACGGGAACCUCAUCCGGUCCAACCCGGAAGCUCAGGCCUAGAGGAGACACUGCCUGGAGGCCACUGUGGGAUGCGAGAGAGCACGAGGCUGCCACCAAAUCCUGAUCCAGCAAGUGGUUUCAUCUGGGAGGCUUCAUUUUUCCCCUUUAAAAUGGGGAUAAAGGAGGCCCUGUGGAAGGGAAAGAAGACAGGGAAAGUGACUCUGAGGUAGGGGUUCAGUAGACUCUAGCCUUCCGGGCCACAGCCCUAAAUGGUCAGGCAGGGCAUCACUCCUUGUCUGGGAACGCUUGGAGGCUGUUCUCCAGCCUGUGGGGCAUCAGGGGCUCUAUCAUACCCUUCCUCAGGUCAGAGUCACUGACGGCAGAGCCCUCGGUGUCGAGGUCAUUUGGGCAAAGGGGUCUGCAGAGUGCGGCUCCAACUCAGCGUUCCUCAGCUUGCAGCCUCCUGAAACUCAGUCACAGGUUGAAACUGCAACCCCGCUGGUGACUGCUUCCUUGUUGCUAAGCGACCAAAUAUCUGAUAUUAAGCUCCUGUUGAUGAAGCUAA